rnacentral:lncRNA from 1 species
GUCAGGAUCCAGGGCAAGAUGAGUCUUUCUAGUUCCCCUGCCACCAGGCCAAGGAAGAGCCAAUUACUCCCUCCUCUGUCGGGUGCUCUGGUCAUCAGUCCCAGGAGCCCAGCCUUCGAGUCAUCCCAGCCCGGGCACCAGACGUAAGUGAUGAGGCUUCCAGAUGAUUCCUGCCCCAGCUGUUCAGGGCUCCCAGCAGAGAAGAGCUGUACCCACAGAGCCCUGCUUGGCUUCUUGACCUGCGGAAUCCAUGACCCUGUUACACCCCUAAGUUCUGUGAUGGUUCAUUAUAACAACAGAUCACCGGACCAUGGAAAUUACUUCUCCUCUUCUACUCUUUAGGCUAACUCGUUUUUAUAUAAACAACUCAUCCCCACCCAGACACACACACAAGGCCCUAGAGCAGCAGUUUCCGAACAGUGCCGUAUCCCCCGGGGAUCUCUAAAAAAUACUGACACCCAGACAAUAGGGGGGAAUCCUAAAAAUACCUGACCAAGACUAUUCAAGAUUGCCAGGCUCAUGAAAAACAAAGAAAAGUCUGAUACUACAUCCUGGAUGGGACGUAACAUUAAAACUGAGAAAAUCGGAAUAAACUAUGAACUUUAUUUAA